rnacentral:rRNA from 1 species
GACGAACGCUGGCGGCGUGCCUAAUACAUGCAAGUUGAGCGAUGAAGAUUGGUGCUUGCACCAAUUUGAAGAGCAGCGAACGGGUGAGUAACGCGUGGGGAAUCUGCCUUUGAGCGGGGGACAACAUUUGGAAACGAAUGCUAAUACCGCAUAACAACUUUAAACAUAAGUUUUAAGUUUGAAAGAUGCAAUUGCAUCACUCAAAGAUGAUCCCGCGUUGUAUUAGCUAGUUGGUGAGGUAAAGGCUCACCAAGGCGAUGAUACAUAGCCGACCUGAGAGGGUGAUCGGACACAUUGGGACUGAGACACGGCCCAAACUCCUACGGGAGGCAGCAGUAGGGAAUCUUCGGCAAUGGACGAAAGUCUGACCGAGCAACGCCGCGUGAGUGAAGAAGGGUUUCGGAUCGUAAAACUCUGUUGGUAGAGAAGAACGUUGGUGAGAGUGGAAAGCUCAUCAAGUGACGGUAACUACCCAGAAAGGGACGGCUAACUACGUG